UUUACAUAAUACAUAUUUGUUGAUGAAACCAGUGGGCUCCCUUGAACAUCUGUGCUGUGAUGCACAAACCAGCAAGACCUAGGCAGGGAGAGUGUGGAGAGCUAAAAGUCUCUGAGAAUGUGAUACGAGAAAAUGACUGCCUUCCAAAGAUUUAGCAGCUGCUUUAAAGCAAAAAGUCCUAAAUAUUUAAGAAUUUAACUCCAAGUGUCUUGAUAAUUGGUAGCAUGAAUUGGCUCUGGAAUUUGGGAAGGCUGCUUUGCUCUGGGUUCAAUUAGGAGAGGAAGAAGGAAGCAAUUUCUAUGUAAAUGAAUCAAUCCACUGACCCACAUUUCUUCAGUCUUGAAAAUAUGGCAGGCAGCACCAGAGCUGAGCUCUAGAAAACAUAGAUGCAUGAUGUAGCACCUGCCCUUGAAGAAAAGAGUGGGAGGCAGGUGGCAGACCCCCAGAAAGCUUAAUAACAGAAUUCAGUAGCAGUGCAGACAAUGGCACCAAAAGUUUGCUCUGGAUUCAACAGAAACCUCCCCUCACUAUGUAUUUUGAAGCCUUCCUCCUUUUUGAAGACAGAGUGGGUUCUAAACUUGAGACAGAACCCUGAUACUUCCUAUACAAAAGAUCUUUGAGCUGAGGGUGAAAACUUGCAUCUUCCAUGAGAUGCCCACAUUGUGGUAGGAGAGCUUAGGCCAGAGAAUGGGUCUGGGGAAAAUGAAUUGCUAACCUGAGUUCAAAUCCUAACUUUGUUUCUCAAUGAACAGCAACUUGGGCUCUGUAGGUUCCCUGAGCCUCUGUUUCUUCAUCCAUGAAAUGAUAACAACAACACUCACCUAGACUGCAUGAGGAAGAAUAACAUAAAUGGCACACAGUACACUCCACAUGGCACCUUUAAUGUGGAAAUACCAGAUUCAUCAUUAUGGUGUGCAUUGAGCUUGCAGAGUGGUACCUACCAAUGACAUACAUUUUCCAUAAUGAACAACUAUCACUUAUUAAAUUUUUUAUUAUUGUUAUUUUUACUUAUUCACUUUACGUGCCCCCCAGUCACCCCUUCCCACAAUCCUUCUCCCAUUUCCCCUCCCCUUCUCCUCUGAGUGAGUGGGGGCCCCUCUGGGUAUCCCCCCAACCAUGGCACAUCAAGUCUCUGCGGGGUUAAGCACAUCCUCUUCCACUGAGGCCAAACAAAGCUGCCCAGUUAGGGGAACAUAUCCUACAGACAGGCUAGAGCUUUUGGGAUAGCCCCUGCUCCAGUUGUUCAGGACCCACAUGAAGACCAAGCUGCACAUCUCCUACAUAUGUGUGGGGAAGCCUAGGUCAAGCCCAUGUGUAGCAACUAUCAUUUAAUUAAAAAAGAUGCAUGAAGUUUCUGUCAGGUUACUCAUGCCCAGAAGCAGAAUGCAAGGGUUACCAGAGACAUAGGGAAAGGCAAGAGCUCACUGGAAAGUGAAGGCCAUUUACAUCAGUUUCAUGCAGAGUCUUCGUCAGUGUGUGCAGUUCUUAACAGCAGCAAUUAUAUUUUUUGUAAGGUACCUUGCUGUUAUUUAAAGGCAUGGGUCUUCACCUCAAAUACUGAGCACAUGGUACAGACUGAUUGCUUAGUAGAUGAACCAGCUUGGUAGUCGCAGGCACUACUUUGGGUCUAGUGAACUGGGUUUGCAUCCUGGUGCAACCUCUUGAGUGCUGUGACCUUCAGCAGUCCCUAUGGUUUCUUCACUCUCCUUAUUGUAGCAUACACUGUAGCGUGAUGUCCACGCCGAAGGCUGUUUCAAAGAGAACAUGACAUAAAUACAAAAUGCCCAAUAGUGUAGACAAUACAAUGCUGCUUUCCUUUCUCCAUUCCUUUCCCAGUAACUUGCAUUUUUCUGGCAAAAGUCUUGUCAGAACUUAUCAGAAUUAAUUACAAAACCAAUUAAGAGUCUGUGAGUAAUAUUUUACUGUUUUCUCACUUUGAUGGUGAGUUCUUGUACCUACUGAAGGACGUAAGGGCCUUCUUUAGACUGUAUAACCU
rnacentral:lncRNA from 1 species